rnacentral:rRNA from 1 species
UACGUAGGGGGCUAGCGUUGUCCGGAUUUAUUGGGCGUAAAGAGCGUGUAGGCGGCCUGGCAGGUCUGCUGUGAAAACUCGAGGCUCAACCUCGAGAUGUCGGCGGAAACCGUCUGGCUAGAGUCCGGAAGAGGAGAGUGGAAUUCCUGGUGUAGCGGUGAAAUGCGCAGAUAUCAGGAAGAACACCUAUGGCGAAGGCAGCUCUCUGGGACGGUACUGACGCUGAGACGCGAAAGCGUGGGGAGCGAACAGG